rnacentral:rRNA from 1 species
CUUACACAUGCAGUCGAACGGUGUCUUCGGACAUAGUGGCGGACGGGUGAGUAACGCGUGAGAAUUUGGCUUCAGGUCUGGGACAACCACUGGAAACGGUGGCUAAUACCGGAUGUGCCCUUUGGGGUGAAAGGUUAAUUGCCUGAAGAUGAGCUCGCGUCUGAUUAGCUAGUUGGAAGUGUAAUGGACUCCCAAGGCGACGAUCAGUAGCUGGUCUGAGAGGACGAUCAGCCACACUGGGACUGAGACACGGCCCAGACUCCUACGGGAGGCAGCAGUGGGGAAUUUUCCGCAAUGGGCGAAAGCCUGACGGAGCAAUACCGCGUGAGGGAGGAAGGCUCUUGGGUCGUAAACCUCUUUUCUCAGGGAAGAACACAAUGACGGUACCUGAGGAAUAAGCAUCGGCUAACUCCGUGCCAGCAGCCGCGGUAAUACGGAGGAUGCAAGCGUUAUCCGGAAUGAUUGGGCGUAAAGCGUCCGCAGGUGGCAAUGUAAGUCUGCUGUUAAAGAGUCUAGCUCAACUAGAUAAGAGCAGUGGAA